rnacentral:lncRNA from 1 species
GUUUCUCAACCUAUAGCGCUACCAUUGUUAGAGGAGGCUUGUACGAAGUUAAUGAACACAUAGUCAUGAAUGUUUACAUUAGCAUAACAUGUCUAACAUGAUUAAAAUGUAUCACAUAGGGUAAGGAUAGAGUGUGCGUAAAAUGUUUGAUGUGAUUGUGAUGUUUGAUAUAGAAUACAUAUUGCACCCAAAAGUGGAAAAUAGAAAAUGGGUCAUGUAUACUCACAUUGAUUGCGUUGCGCUUCUUGUAUUAACGCACGAGUAAAGAUGGAGAAUAAUCCAAGAGAACGUACAAGAGAGAUUAACCUAAAUAUUAAAAUACCACAACGAAUUCGUUAUUGUAAGUUAAAUGAUAUUCCUAAUGUUCACCAUUUAUAAAUUAUUAAUUAGAUGUUAGAAUUUUAACCAAGGAUUUUUGGUAUUAUAAAAAGAGAUCUCGUUAAAUAAACUCCCUCAUAUUUAAAGUUUAAGUAAACUACAUCUCUAAUUAGUUAGAAUAAUUAACUAAUAUUUUUGCAUAAAAGAGACGUCAAAAAAAACGAGUUAACAUUUUAAGGGUUUAAAAAAAAAAAAAAAAGAUUUUAGAGUUCAUGGUUUUAAUUAAAACGAAAAAAAAAAUAUUAAAGUAUAACAUUAAAAAUAACAUACAAAGAAAGAAGUAAAAAAGUCAACAAAAGAAUUUGGUUUACAUCACCGUUUUGAAAUAUAUUGUAUUUUAAAUUCAUUUAUACUCUUGUAAAGUGAAACAUCUUCUUCAAGAAAUAACAUACAGUUUAAAGAAACAUCUUCUUCAAGAAAUAACAUACAGUUUAAAGAAAAAUAUCAUCAUCAUCCUCAUUUUAAAAGUUAUACGUACUGUUAUAUAUAUAUACACUAAAACGAGAUGUUCUAAACAAAACGAAUGGAAUAAGGGUAUUAUAUCAACAGGAGAUUUGAACGAACAUAACAAAAUGGAACAAGAAAUGUAUACCGAAACGAAGAAGAACGGAGGUCCGACGUAACAAUUCCGGCGAAACGGUUUACUCCGAGGGCUUCGGGGUUUCUCCGGUGAACUCCGGUGACGACUAGUCUUCUCCGGCGAACAUGGUGUUGUCGAGCAGAAUGUGUGGAGAUGCGGGGUGUCGGGUUGUCGAAUGAGGGUGUCGAGAGGUGAGGUGAUCGAAAGGGAAGGCUCGUGUGAAUGGAAGGUGUCGGUGAUUGGAUCGAAUAAAGGAAAGGGUCGGGCUUUUUGGUAAUGAUUGAUCGAAAGAAAAGGGAAACGCGGGAUGGCUGUUAUUCCGGCAGUUUAGCGAAGAAGAAAAGGAAACUUAAACUGUUUCUUAGCUGUGAAUGGUUGGCCGCAAAAAGGAAAAAAA